CCAUGAAAAACUGACGAGGUCGAUGAGAGCAGAAUAUUUGGUCAUUCAAAAGCACACCCUCGAGCAAGACGGAAGCAAUCAAAAAAGUUCCCGAAGCAAAAUUAACAGCAAGUGAAAAUUACCUCUUUUGGAAUUCAAGAAGAACCUACCUCAACUUUCGGAACCGAUAUCCACCCUUACUCAGCAAGGAGAAAUUCAAACUUUUGAACACCAUGGUUAAGAGAGAUCAAAAUCCACCCCGCGAUGAGCAGAGCGAUGUUGAAAACGACCAGCAGCCCAGUGACGCCAUGGGACGCCGACGACGAUCUCGCUCCCGACGCCGUUCCCGUUCCACGUCUCGCCCCCGAGCCAGCGCUCGUUCAUCGUCCCGCCGACGUCGUAGCCGCAGCCGUCGUCGCCAUUACUAGAGGAGGAUCGCUUCCCCACCCCCACCAGGAUAAAUCCCAUCCCGCCCGGCUAUGCUGAAAAGUGGAAUCAUUCAAAUCCUGUUACUUGAGCCGCCAAAUAAAAUAGUUGUGUGAAAUCGAUAAAAGAAAA